UACGUAGGGGGCAAGCGUUAUCCGGAUUCACUGGGUGUAGAGGGAGCGUAGACGGCCAUGCAAGCCUGGAGUGAAAGCCCGGGGCCCAACCCCGGGACUGCUCUGGGAACUGUGCGGCUGGAGUGCGGGAGGGGCAGGCGGAAUUCCUGGUGUAGCGGUGAAAUGCGUAGAUAUCAGGAGGAACACCGGCGGCGAAGGCGGCCUGCUGGACCGCGACUGACGUUGAGGCUCGAAAGCGUGGGGAGCAAACAGG
rnacentral:rRNA from 1 species